rnacentral:rRNA from 1 species
GACGAACGCUGGCGGCGUGCCUAACACAUGCAAGUCGAGCGGAGCCAGUAGCAAUAUUAGUUUAGCGGCGGACGGGUGAGUAACGCGUGGGCAACCUGCCUUCUACAGAGGGAUAACACAGGGAAACUUGUGCUAAUACCGCAUAACAUACUUAAGGGACAUCCCUUGGGUAUCAAAGGAGCAAUCCGGUAGAAGAUGGGCCCGCGUCCGAUUAGCUAGUUGGUGGUGUAACGGACCACCAAGGCGACGAUCGGUAGCCGAACUGAGAGGUUGAUCGGCCACAUUGGGACUAAGACACGGCCCAGACUCCUACGGGAGGCAGCAGUGGGGAAUAUUGCGCAAUGGGGGAAACCCUGACGCAGCAACGCCGCGUGAAGGAUGAAGGUCUUCGGAUUGUAAACUUCUUUAGUCGGGGACGAAGAAAUGACGGUACCCGAAGAAUAAGCCACGGCUAACUACGUGCCAGCCGCCGCAGUAACAC